UACAGAGGGUGCAAGCGUUAAUCGGAAUUAUUGGGCGUAAAGCGUGCGCAGACGGUUGCGUAAGUCAGAUGUGAAAGCCCCGGGCUCAACCUGGGAAUUGCAUUUGAGACUGCGUAGCUAGGGUGCGGAAGAGGGAAGCGGAAUUUCCGGUGUAGCGGUGAAAUGCGUAGAUAUCGGAAGGAACACCACUGGCGAAGGCAGCUCGCUGGGACGUUACUGACGCUGAGACGCGAAAGCGUGGGGAGCAAACAGG
rnacentral:rRNA from 1 species